AGGGUUUGAUCCUGGCUCAGAAUGAACGUUGGCGGCGUGGAUUAGGCAUGCAAGUCGAACGAAUCCCGUAGCAAUACGGGGGAAGUGGCGAAAGGGGCAGUAAGGCGUGGACAACCUGCCCCCGGCUCCGGGAUAGCCUUCCUAACGGAUGGGUAAUACCGGGUACGCUCGCUAGGUGGCAUCACCAGGCGAGGAUAGCUCCGGCGGCCGGGGAGGGGUUCACGUGAUAUUAGCUAGUUGGCGGGGUGACGGCCCACCAAGGCGAAGAUGUCUAGCGGGUGUGAGAGCACGACCCGCGCCACUGGCACUGGGACACUGGCCAGACUCCUACGGGAGGCUGCAGUCGAGGAUCUUCGGCAAUGGGCGCAAGCCUGACCGAGCGACGCCGCGUGAGCGAUGAAGGCCUUCGGGUCGUAAAGCUCUGUCGGGGGGGAGAAAAGGGUAACACCUUGAUCGACCCCCGGAGGAAGCACGGGCUAAGUUCGUGCCAGCAGCCGCGGUAAGACGAACCGUGCGAACGUUAUUCGGAAUCACUGGGCUUAAAGGGUGCGUAGGCGGGCCGAUCAGUCAGGGGUGAAAUCCCACGGCCCAACCGUGGAAGUGCCUCUGAUACUGCCGGCCUCGAGGGGGAUAGGGGCGUGCGGAACUCAGGGUGGAGCGGUGAAAUGCGUAGAUAUCCUGAGGAACACCGGUGGCGAAAGCGGCGCGCUGGAUCCCUUCUGACGCUGAAGCACGAAAGCCAGGGGAGCGAACGGGAUUAGAUACCCCGGUAGUCCUGGCCCUAAACGUUGGGUACUAGGUAGCGGCCUGUCAUGGGGUCGCUGCCGGAGCAAAAGUGUUAAGUACCCCGCCUGGGGAGUAUGGUCGCAAGGCUGAAACUCAAAGGAAUUGACGGGGGCUCACACAAGCGGUGGAGCAUGUGGCUUAAUUCGAGGCUACGCGAAGAACCUUAUCCUGGGCUUGACAUGUCCGCAAGGGUGUAGACGUAGGGACCGGAAACGGCACCCGACAGGUAUCCAACCCUGAGCUACACACAGGUGCUGCAUGGCUGUCGUCAGCUCGUGUCGUGAGAUGUCGGGUUAAGUCCCAUAACGAGCGCAACCCCUGUCUUCAGUUGCCAGCACGUAAUGGUGGGGACUCUGAAGAGACUGCCGGUGUCAAACCGGAGGAAGGUGGGGAUGACGUCAAGUCCUCAUGGCCUUUAUGCCCAGGGCUGCACACGUGCUUCAAUGGCACGCACAGAGGGAAGCGAACGCGCGAGCGGGAGCCGACCCCAAAAAACGUGCCCCAGUUCAGAUCGUAGGCUGCAACUCGCCUGCGUGAAGUUGGAAUCGCUAGUAAUCGCGGGUCAGCAACACCGCGGUGAAUGUGUUCCUGAGCCUUGUACACACCGCCCGUCAAGCCACGAAAGAGAGGGGCGCCCGAAGUCGCCGCGCCAACCGCAAGGGGGCAAGCGCCGACGGCGAGACUCUUGGUUGGGACUAAGUCGGAACAAGGUA
rnacentral:rRNA from 1 species